rnacentral:rRNA from 1 species
CGGACGGGUGAGUAACGCGUGGGUAACCUGCCUUGUACUGGGGGGCAACAGUUAGAAAUGACUGCUAAUACCGCAUAAGCGCACAGUAUCGCAUGAUACAGUGUGAAAAACUCCGGUGGUACAAGAUGGACCCGCGUCUGAUUAGCUAGUUGGUAAGGUAACGGCUUACCAAGGCGACGAUCAGUAGCCGACCUGAGAGGGUGACCGGCCACAUUGGGACUGAGACACGGCCCAGACUCCUACGGGAGGCAGCAUG